rnacentral:rRNA from 1 species
AAUCUUGCGCAAUUGGCGAAAGCCUGCCGCAGCCAUGCCGCGUGAUUGAUUAAGGUCUUAGGCUUGUCAAAUUCUUUCACCGGGGACGAUAAUGACGGUACCCGGAGAAGAAGCCCCGGCUAACUUCGUGCUAGCCGCCGCGGUAAUACGAAGGGGGCUAGCGUUGCUCGGAAUUACUGGGCGUAAAGGGCGCGUAGGCGGAUCGUUAAGUCAGAGGUGGAAUCCCAGGGCUGAACCCUGAAACUGCCUUUGCGACUGGAGAUAUUGCGUAUGAGAGAGGUAUGUGGAACUCCGAGUGUAGAGGUGAAAGUCGUAGAUAUUCGGAAGAACACAGUGGCGAAGGCGACAUACUGGCUCAUUACUGACGCUGAGGCGCGAAAGCGUGGGGAGCAAACAG